GGCUAUUCAUGUGAGAUGUACUGGAAUUAAUUCUCUAUGACCUCCUUUCUAGGCUCUGCUAAACAGUAAUCCCUCUGUGGGACUAUUUUAGAGGGACUGCUCAGAAUCUCCAGUCUUCCAGGGUCAGGCCUGCUAGGGCUCUUUGUUCAGUUUCCCUCUGCCCAAGGACCAGGUAGAGCUCUUUCUUCCACCUUCCUGCACUGACAAGUCAGGCAGAGGAGGUAGAAGAAGUAAUGGAAAAAACCCACGGGCGACAUCAUCAACUAAACCAGCAAUGAUCGAGAAGAUAAAUGAAAGUGAGGCAGAAGGAAGAAAAUUUGACAAUGGCAACCGUGGAAGUCCUGCAGGAGAAAAGCUUGGAUGGG
rnacentral:lncRNA from 13 species